AAGUCGUAACAAGGUUUCCGUAGGUGAACCUGCGGAAGGAUCAUUUUCGAACAAACAAAUCUUAAAACAACGCUCUCGGGCUCUUCUCUUUCUUAGUAAAGGGAAGAGUUCUUGGGUAAUGUGAAUCGUUGACCAGUCUCCUUUUUUUUUUACUCUCAAAGGAUUUUAAUAAUGAUGAUCAAUUCCGGUAUUCUUCCUUAAACAAGAAGAAGAAAGAAUUGUUUCUUGACUUAUUGGAAUCUGGAGAGAGGCCAAUAUGAUAAACUCCCUUUAUUGGGACAAGUUACCACAAAUCUUUCUUUUUUUUUUCUGUCUCUUCUUUUUCAUUAAGGAGGAAACAAAAGAAAUUAAAAAAAUCAUGUGACAACUUUUAACGGUGGAUCUCUUGGCUCGU
rnacentral:misc_RNA from 1 species